GCUAAUGUAGCAAAACCUGGUAUUGCAAAAGACCUAAACUCUUUCUAUAGGGGUUCAAAUCCCCUCAUUAACU
rnacentral:tRNA from 1 species